GCCGAGGUGGUGAAAUUGGCAGACACGCCCCGUUCAGGGCGGGGUUCCCGUAAGGGAUUGAGGGUUCAAAUCCCUCCCUCGGCA
rnacentral:tRNA from 1 species